rnacentral:misc_RNA from 1 species
AUUUCCUCCUUCUCACCAUAAACUCUAAACACAAUACACCAAAAAAACCUUCAAACUAAUAAAAUUUUCCACCUCAACAAACUUUUCAAAAUAAAUCAAUCUCAUUUUUUAACAAUUUUCAAAAAAACAUACCAUCUAAACCUCCUCAAAUUAACCAAUUACUAAAAACAAUACAUUUUCUUUCAUAAUAUUCUCAUAUAUACCUCCUCAUUUUCAAUUAACAAAA